UACGAAGGGGGCUAGCGUUGUUCGGAAUUACUGGGCGUAAAGCGCGUGUAGGCGGGCCGUUAAGUCGAGGGUGAAAGCCCAGAGCUCAACUCUGGAAUUGCCUUCGAUACUGGCGGCCUGGAGCAUGAUAGAGGCAAGUGGAAUUGCGAGUGUAGAGGUGAAAUUCGCAGAUAUUCGCAGGAACACCGGUGGCGAAGGCGACUUGCUGGAUCAUUGCUGACGCUGAGACGCGAAAGCGUGGGGAG
rnacentral:rRNA from 1 species